AGGUGCGAUCAUACCAGCACUAAUGCACCGGAUCCCAUCAGAACUCUGCAGUCAAACGUGCUUGGGCGAGAGUAGUACUAGGAUGGGUGACCUCUUGGGAGUCCUCGUGUUGCACUUC
rnacentral:rRNA from 1 species